UACGAAGGGGGCUAGCGUUGCUCGGAAUCACUGGGCGUAAAGGGUGCGUAGGCGGGUCUUUAAGUCAGGGGUGAAAUCCUGGAGCUCAACUCCAGAACUGCCUUUGAUACUGAAGAUCUUGAGUUCGGGAGAGGUGAGUGGAACUGCGAGUGUAGAGGUGAAAUUCGUAGAUAUUCGCAAGAACACCAGUGGCGAAGGCGGCUCACUGGCCCGAUACUGACGCUGAGACACGAAAGCGUGGGGAGCGAACAGG
rnacentral:rRNA from 1 species